rnacentral:rRNA from 1 species
UACGAAGGGGGCGAGCGUUGUUCGGAAUCACUGGGCGUAAAGGGCGCGUAGGCGGCCCUCUUAGUCGCGUGUGAAAGCCCCGGGCUCAACCUGGGAACGGCGCGCGAAACGGGAGGGCUGGAGUUCGGGAGAGGAGAGUGGAAUUCCCAGUGUAGAGGUGAAAUGCGUAGAUAUCUGGAGGAACACCGGUGGCGAAGGCGACAUCCUGGACCGGUAUUGACGCUGAGGCGCGAAAGCCAGGGGAGCAAACGGG